AGAGUUUGAUCAUGGCUCAGGAUGAACGCUAGCUACAGGCUUAACACAUGCAAGUCGAGGGGCAGCAUGUUGGUUGCUUGCAACCAAUGAUGGCGACCGGCGCACGGGUGAGUAACGCGUAUCCAACCUACCCUUGUCCAUCGGAUAACCCGUCGAAAGGCGGCCUAACACGAUAUGCGGUUCUCAGCAGGCAUCUAACGAGAACGAAACGUGAAGGAGAAGGAUGGGGAUGCGUCUGAUUAGCUUGUUGGCGGGGUAACGCCACCAAGGCGACGAUCAGUAGGGGUCUGAGAGGAAGGUCCCCACAUUGGAACUGAGACACGGUCCAAACUCCUACGGGACGGCA
rnacentral:rRNA from 1 species